CAAAAUUACAAAAAUGCAAACAAAAAUGCAAAUACACAGAAAUGCAAAUACAUAGAAAUGUAACAUCCGCCCAAUGUUUAGCAUAUUUUUUCUUUAAUUUAGUUGUAAUAUAUUCCAUUGAAUUUUAUAACGGUAUAAAAUAGUAGGAGAAUAUGGCAAAGAAAUCUGCAAGUUGUGUACUAGCUGUAGAUGUUGGAACAACGAAUCUAACGUGUCAUGUCUUUGAUAACAGUGGUAUUUCUAAAUACGGAGCAACCAGAAAGGUUUG